UACGUAGGGUGCGAGCGUUGUCCGGAAUUACUGGGCGUAAAGAGCUCGUAGGUGGUUUGUCGCGUUGUUCGUGAAAACUCACAGCUCAACUGUGGGCGUGCGGGCGAUACGGGCAGACUAGAGUACUGCAGGGGAGACUGGAAUUCCUGGUGUAGCGGUGGAAUGCGCAGAUAUCAGGAGGAACACCGAUGGCGAAGGCAGGUCUCUGGGCAUUAACUGACGCUGAGGAGCGAAAGCAUGGGGAGCGAACAGG
rnacentral:rRNA from 1 species